UGGGUGACCUGUCCUCAGCUCUGGGAUAAGCCUGGGAAACUGGGUCUAAUACCGGAUAUGACCUUCCAUCGCAUGGUGGGGGGUGGAAAGUUUUUCGGCUGGGGAUGGGCCCGCGGCCUAUCAGCUUGUUGGUGGGGUGAUGGCCUAACAAGGCGACGACGGGUAGCCGGCCUGAGAGGGCGACCGGCCACACUGGGACUGAGACACGGCCCAGACUCCUACGGGAG
rnacentral:rRNA from 1 species